rnacentral:lncRNA from 1 species
AGGCUCGGGUCCCGCCGGACUGGAUACAUCUGUCUCUAUUCAAAGCUGCUGCCUGAGGCUGGGCUUCCAGUCAGCUGGAUGGCGGUGCUGACUCCCUGUGGAGCACUGGCAGGUCUUGGUGCACCGUCAAUAGACGCCCUGACUCCAAAAGGCAUCUGCACGUCUGUGUUCACCUCGGCAUUGUUCAAAGCAGCCAGCACGUGGAGUCCACCUAUGUGUUCCUGAGGGAUGGUGGCUAAAGAAGACAAGGUAUAUACACCGUGGAACACUGUUCAGUCGUAAAAAGGAGAUUCUGCCGUUUUUGAUGACACGUAUGGGCCUUGAGAUCAUUAUGAGAUUCACAUGUGUGGUAAAUUACAAGAAGAAAAUCCCAUCGGAAAACUGUAUGAAGACUGUUCUCAAGUAUUUCAGCCCAGCUUAGCAGAAGGGAAGGGAGAAGGCCCAGGAGGUACCUUCCAUCGACUGUACGCAGUGUUAACAAUCCUAAGAAAUCCUGGCUUGAUGACAAUAGCAGAUCUGAUUCAUGAAAAAUAUGAAGAAAACCUUGUGAGUGAAAAUUGGAAUCUACUUUGUGCACAUUUCCUCUUGAUUCAUGUUUUUGGAACAGAGAAUCAGGAGCCAUAUUUCCUGGGUUCAAACCUGAAAUCCACCACUUCCUUGCUGUGUGACUAGAGAUAUGGACAGAAGCCUGUUCCUCCCAGACAUGCCUAAACAUGGACCAUCACAGCCUCCUGACCCUCUGCUCCUACCUGAGUGACACAAAGGCUUUUGAUCAGGUUACUAGUUCAGGAGGAGUGUUCUGAUGUCGCUGAACCAUAGUCACCUGGGUCCCAGAAUGGCCUCCUGGAAGGUGACCCUCCUCCCAAAUCUGAACAUUCACCCUGAGGUCUUGACAUUAAUUUUCCAGUACAUACCAUGUCAAGCAGAGAAAACAUCAGUUUAGCUGGACUUUCCCAAUGACCAUGGACAUCUACAAAGACUGGCUCCAUCUGCAGUGAACUGCUGACUUAUCCCGUUACCAUCCCUCAGCCAGUUUCUGAGAGCAAAGACAAAAAAGAGAAGCCAGGUUUAAAAAUCAGGAUCAUGGCUCUUCCACAUCGUGCUGGAGGCAGGAACAAGAGUCCAACAACAGGUGCAUGUGUUUAUCUUAAUUUAAUUUGGAAAAGGUGUCAGUUGUUUGCAUAGGUGACAUCUCCCUGUUCUAAGGCUGUAAAGCUUUAGGGAGGGAGCAGUGCCCCUUUGGAUCUUCCCACUCCCUCUGUUUCCCCAGCAGAGAAAACCGCCACUGCUGUUUCCUAAAUAUCCUUGCAGAUCAUCUACGUGACCUCAGGAGUGUGUGUGCACAGGGGCUUUUGCUCACACACGUCCAAGCCUACCCGAAACCCAGCCCUGUAUGACGCUUUUUCACUUUAAAUCUUGUACGUCCUUAGAUAUCGGUACACUAUAAACUGCCUUCUUUUUCUAAUUGGCUUAUGUUCUGUUAUACAGAUAUGCCAAACUUUACUUAAUUUCUCCUCUGCCGAUGGCCUCUGACCUCACUGCCAGUACUCACUCUUGGAAACAGGGCUGGAGCGCACUCGUCCCUGUUUGGGUAGGACAGUGUACUAUAACAGGUGUGUUACUUAGAGAGGAACGGCUCCAUGAAGGGAAUUUUUUAGCUUUCUUGAGAUGCAGUUGACAUACAACACUGUGUAAAUUUAAGCUGCACAACCUAUUGAUUUGAUACCUUUACAUAUUGCAAAAUAAUCACUGCCAUCCCAAGUGUAUGAAGCACCUUGUCUUUGCUUAAAGCCUGAGGCAGCUGGGCUCCAGCACCUGCUGAGGGCCCCGCCCCAGGCCUCCAUUUCCCUGGUGAUGAGAAGAGGGAAGAGGGACUGAGGAGGCCAGGGUCACAGAGCUUCUCAGCUAAGGAUGAUCAAGGGCCAGAGGCCAAAGGGACCCCAGGGCACAAAGCGCUGUGCCCAGCCCAAGAAGCCCCGGCCGCUUCCAAAGUCUCACUGUCCUGUCUCAACCAGCCAUUGUCCCUAAAUCUGCAAAAUGGGGAUCAAGUCACUUAGCUCCGUGUUACUUAUUCAGAUAUUCAAUUGCAUAGAAUGUCUCUCUCUGGGACAAAAUAAAGGAAGCUAGGGCCCCAUCAAUUCAGAGUUGCUGGGGUUGAACAGCAGCAGUUAGAGGCAGCCUGGUUUGAGCAUCUGUGUCCGCUGUGGUCAGGGACUCCUUUCUUUAACUGAGGGGAGGAAAACACUCUCACCCUUGAGAUGGGAGAACCCUGGAUUUGAGGGGGGCAGGAGGCAGGGGGUGGGGGUGGCCACUGUUAAGGACAGGAGCUUUAGUGGGAGGAAGAAGCCCUGGAGCCUGGUGGACCUGUAGCCCUUAGGGAGCAACCUGGGGCAUGCGGGGCCUGAACAAAGUCUCCUGAGCAGCGCUGCCCUCUUACCUCCAACGUUUCCAUAAUGAGAAGCCUCCCAGUGGACCUCUCGUCCCCCUCUGUGGAGCCUAAAGUAGACAAAGCUGCAGGGCACCAGCCCUCGGUUGGUUACUUGCAGAGGCCUGAAUUCAGCCAAAGGCUUUGAUGAAAUGCAGCAGGGGGCGCUCUUAGCCAAACCCCGGCUGCCCUGAGCAGCUGCAUCCCUUCCCACCCAGACCUCAGCCUCCGUCCACCCCAGCCCAGAGCCCAGCAAUGUCCAUGGCAACGUCAUGUCAGUGUAGCUGUGAUGGGGGCACUUUCUAAGUCCGUUCAGUUUUAAUUAGUCAGCUGAGUUCCUUAUCAGCAACGGAAGCACCUCGUGUGAACUCGAGGGAAAUAGAGGAGGAUUUGGGGCAGGUGUGGGAGGCGCCCAGGGUUCUAAGCAGCCUAGAGCCCGGGGCCUGAGGAUAGAAGGGUUGGAGGGGCCAGCGGCUGCUCUCCUGGGGGUGUUGACAGGGACCUCUGCAAACUCAGCAGAGUUACCCGGCCUGUGUCAGGCCCCUCAGGGCUCCAGGGAGGGGGUCCUAGCUCAGGGUCUCAGGGGAGAGGGUUGUGGCUGACACCCCACCCAGUUGACCCUCAUGGGGAGAGUGCUCCCAGGGGUCGCUGGGCUCUGCUUCAGGAGGAGAGGGGACCCCACUGAGUUUCAGAGGCAGUGAUGUCCAGUGAGGCAGGCGUUGCUACUCCAGGCUACUUCGCUGUGGUCAAAGCCCUACCUUCCCAUGAAAGUGAUUCACCCACAGCAGAGUCAGUGGGAGUUUCUUCAGUGUUGUCAAGAGCUGUGGCUUUGAACAAAUGAACAGCUGUGUCACUAUGUUGCAUGCUCCCCGGGCAGAUGAGAGUGUGGAAAACUCAGUCCUUCCAGAAAAGGGUUCAGAGCUGUGGGUGUGAAGCCACAGCACUGGUCCAGAUUCUGCGGCUACAUGAGGACCUUUUCUGAGCAGGAUGCUCUUCCUCACCCCCGCCCCCCAGACAGAGGAGACGGGUUUUCCAGACCAAGGAUUGAGUCCCUUCCAGACCAAGGAUUGAGUCCCAAUCAGUCAUCAAGAUGUGUAGGCAGAGAGAUGAGGUAAGAGUCAAACUCACACGAUUUCAGUGUGUUAGACAAAGACCCCAGGGCAGUCCCAGAGCUCCCAAGUUCCACCCUGAUGUGCUAAAUGUGCUCCACCAUCCUUGCUUGAGGAUGUGUCACAUAGGAGCAAUUUGGGGGAUGGUGCAACUGGUAAUAACGUAGUAUUUAUUUCUCCUGGAAUUCUUACCUUGUGGUAAUUGUCUACCCAAUGAAACAAAAAUAUGUAUAGAAUUAGAAUGACAGAAAAAAAGAUUUACUUUUGCUUUUGAAGAAAAAUUUAAUUGCAGUAAAAAGGAACGUUGAUGAAUUUAAUCAUGAUUUUUAGUGAAAAAGAAAAACGUGAAAAGAAGGAAAAACCGGCCUCUCAUGUCAGCAUUGCCUAGCUGUGCACAUUUGGAUGCUCUAAGCCAUGUCUCUGAAUGUCUGCUUCAUCUUCUCUAAAACAGAAGUGGUGAGAUCCACUUUGCGAGGCUGCUGAAUGCACGCACGUCGUCCGGAGCUGUGUCUGCCACAGCAGAUACUAAUCUUCAGCAUUUAAAGGCAUCUCUGAUCCUCGGAGACCAGACUCCAGAGUGGACUCCAAACCUGGGUUGCUGGGAACCCACUGUGGGGCUAUUUUUAAAUUAUUGGUGGUUUUUUGUUUCUACUAACUUGACUUAAAGGAAAAUUAGCAUAUCAUUCUGCAGGAUUGCAAGACAUCCCACCUAAUGGGCCAUCGAGGACCCAGAAAGCUGUUUUCUCUCUGCCCAGAAGUGACUCGGGGUGGAGGUUGGGGGACUGGUCCAAAUGUUAAAGCCUCGGUGAGGCUGAUUCUCUGAGCCUGCUUCACGCGCGAUCCUUGAAAUGUUCCAUGACAUUUGUCUGUAAUUUUCUUACAUGUCAUUUUCAGUGUUAUGAGGGUUUACAGAAAGAACUCCCAUUUUUUUCUGCCAUCAUAAAAAUAUAGGCCUGAUUUUGGUUUGGAAGGAACUGAAAACUCUCAUUGAUUUUAAGGCAAAACCCAUCAAGAAAUCUGUCAGCUUCCACACCGCUGUUCUCUGUACCUCAGCUCCUCGUAAGUGAGCUAUUUAUUAACCGUGACGGUGAGGCUAUGUCUUGGGAAAAUAUCGACCCUCCUUCUAUGUACAGUGAAAGCUCAUCUCGAACACUUUCAUUCUCUUCCCCUUCCGGAGACUCACGUGCAUUUAUUUUUUUAACACUAAAAUAAAUUCACACCGAAAAAUAGAAAUCUAAAAUUAAAUAUUUAAUUAGAACUCUGAUUUGCUUUAAAGAUAGGUGGCAUUGCACAGGCUAUAUUACACUCUCUGUAUAAUUUCUUUUGACAAAAAAGAUACUGUUCAUUUUAACAGGUCACUUUAAUAUUAAUACAUGUGUAAUAGGAUCAGAACUGAACAUCAGCUAGGAUGGUACAUUGUACAUUAUUGGGAAAAUUACAGUUUUGUAUUGUAAAAACAUUUAUUUUUUAACAAUUUACCUACAUUAAUCAAAAAAUUACAGCAUAUUUAAUAAUUUUACAAAUUCUUCAUAAAAAAUAUAUCUCUGUACAAAAAAGGUCGUUUGCACCUACUUCAUGUCAGCAGCAUGUGGCGAGAUGGCGAGACAGUGGGUGAUGACGAUGGGUUUUUCCUGAUCAUAAUGCCAGCGUUCUUUCCCCCUUUUUAUAAUAGCUUUUUUUUUUUGUGGUUGUUUACAAAAUAUUUUACAGAAGAAAAAAAUUAUUGCAGCUAGCCUGAAGAAAGGCAAGAUGUGUGGGACAAGCAGCAGUUUGCACAGCUCUGAAGCACAGGACCUGUCAGCGGGGUGCCUCCCCUCCAUGAGCUCCAGCUGCUCCCGCCAGGAGUCUUCCACCCUGGACCCAGAAAGCGCCUUUGCCGACUGCUCCCACCAGACCCUCCCACACCUCGCAGGGGAUCUGAUUAACACUGCACACACCCCAGGAAGAAACUAGGCAGAAUUCUUGAGAGAGAAUUUCAUGGAGUAUUUUUUUUUUAAUAACAUGCUCCAAACUGGCAGCCAAGGACACUCUGACUUGGCACACAAAGGAGAGUCGUGUCUAAUCUGAUAUGUGGUUUCUUGUGUGUAUGUAAGUCCUGUCAUUUCAGGAUUUCGUAACGUUGUUGACCAGCAAGCGGGUCGGGGAUGUGGAGGGACAUUGACUCAGACUCUGAAGUCAGCAUCUUGCACCUAGUUUGAAUGACUCAAACCAUAGAUGCACAGACUUCCUCCUGGGUUCCUGGUUCCGGCUCCCUGGGUGUGCGAGGAGCCUGGCUCUGGCUGACCUCACCUGGUCUGAGGAGAAAAAGCCAUAUGGACCUCGGGCUGCAAAGCACAUCGUGGUAUGUUGCCAGGCUGGCCAGAGCGAAAUGUGCAGAGAACUCAGCACAGAAGACUGAGUUCAGUGCAUGGGGUGUGGAAGGUCGGGAAGAGCCCGAGGUGGGCGGCCGUGCCUCCAGCCGCUGCACCCCUUCCCACGGGCACCUGGACAGCGGGCGCCAGGAGUCCUGCACUGAGACAUGACACAGACGGACACACACGCCAGUCCUGAAGCUAUGUGUGAACAUGUUCCCCAAACCACCGAUGCCCUGAUGCCCGUACGGAAGGGAGAAGGGGAGUCAUGUAUCCACUACGUCAUCGGGAAAGAAGAGUGGCUGCGACUCUUCCUGGCCUCCAGAGGAACACUGGCUGUUUGAUCCUGAAUGUUUCCAUGGAGUUCAGGGGCUCCUGUGGGACCCUGUCCUCAAGGCAAUUUCAGAGAGUGAUGGCAGCAAACAAGAAACAAAUCGCAACGUAACAGGGGAGACUGUGUCGUGAGCAAAACCCCCAGGGCAUGAACUACCUAAAAUAAAUUACUAUUCAUAUCUGUACAUGGCAAACAGAAAUCGCUGCAAACCUGCCAUGAAGUGGUAUCAUUCCGACAGUAAGGGGCCGAUGGCAGGACUAAGAAUUAUGUGGGAAAUAAAAAGGCCUCUUUCCCCUCAUUGGGCAUCUUCAGUGAAUUCGACACAUAUAUGUGGCUAAAAGAAGCAAUAAUAAAAUAAAUCU